CCUACGGGAGGCAGCAGUGGGGAAUAUUGCACAAUGGGCGCAAGCCUGAUGCAGCCAUGCCGCGUGUAUGAAGAAGGCCUUCGGGUUGUAAAGUACUUUCAGCGGAGAGGAAGGUGUUGUGGUUAAUAACCACAGCAAUUGACGUUACCCGCAGAAGAAGCACCGGCUAACUCCGUGCCAGCAGCCGCGGUAAUACGGAGGGUGCAAGCGUUAAUCGGAAUUACUGGGCGUAAAGCGCACGCAGGCGGUCUGUCAAGUCGGAUGUGAAAUCCCCGGGCUCAACCUGGGAACUGCAUUCGAAACUGGCAGGCUAGAGUCUUGUGGAGGGGGGUAGAAUUCCAGGUGUAGCGGUGAAAUGCGUAGAGAUCUGGAGGAAUACCGGUGGCGAAGGCGGCCCCCUGGACAAAGACUGACGCUCAGGUGCGAAAGCGUGUGGGAGCAAACAGGAUUAGAUACCCGAGUAGUC
rnacentral:rRNA from 1 species